UCAGUUCGGAUUGGAGUCUGCAACUCGACUCCAUGAAGCUGGAUUCGCAGUAAUCGCGCAUCAGCCAUGGCGCGGUGAAUACGUUCCCGGGCCUUGUACACACCGCCCGUCAAGCCAUGGGAGUCGGGAGUGCCUGAAGUUCGUGACCGUCACAGGAGCGACCUAAGGCAAGACCGAUGACUGGGGCUAAGUCGUAACAAGGUAGC
rnacentral:rRNA from 1 species